rnacentral:rRNA from 1 species
CUGUUAUCCGAGGAUGUCCGAAUGUGGGAACCCCGCCGCAUGCGAGUGCGGUGACCCGCAUCUGAAUAUAUAGGGUGUGUGGAGGGAACGCGGGGAAGUGAAACAUCUCAGUACCCGUAGGAAGAGAAAACAAUAGUGAUUCCGAGAGUAGUGGCGAGCGAAAUAGGGUUAGGCUAAAACAAA